rnacentral:rRNA from 1 species
GAUGAACGCUGGCGGCGUGCCUAAUACAUGCAAGUCGAACGAACAGAUGAUGAGCUUGCGCCCCUGACGUUAGCGGCUGACGGGUGAGUAACACGUGCAUAACCAACUUAUAAGACUGGGAGAACAUCGGGAAACCGGAGCUAAUACUGGAUAAUAUAUUGAACCGCAGGGUUCAAGAGUGAAAGACGGUUUGGCUGUCACUUAGAGAUGAUGCCGCGCCGGAUUAGCUAGUUGGUAAGGUAACGGCCUACCAAGGCAACGAUGCGUAGCCGACCUGAGAGGGUGAUCGGCCACACUGGAACUGAGACACGGUCCAGACUCCUACGGGAGGCAGCAGUGGGGAAUAUUCCGCAAUGGGCGCAAGCCUGACGCAGCAACGCCGCGUGAGUGAUGAAGGUCUUCGGAUCGUAAAGCUCUUUUAUUAGGGAAGAACAACUGUGUAAGUAACCCCCCACGUCCUGACGGUACCUAAUCAGAAAGCCCCGGCUAACUACGUG